ACCACUGGUCAUUCAGGCAUGAAAUAACCUCAAGGCCAAUUCUUCAGCAACACAGAGCCUCCUGAACUUCACCUUGUCACUUUGUCCAAGUUGCAGGAGCCAUCAGGGCAGAGGUGGUGUUCAGCAGGAAGAACAUAGCCACAGUCUGUCGCAGAGGAGGUUGGAAGGGGUGGAGGCUGUAGUAUGAGGCCCGUCCAGACACAGUGAGUUCUGGCUGUAUGCCUGGAGGCAGUCAGACAUUCAUACCCUCUAUGAACUGGUGGCUCAGGUGGGAAGAUAAGAGAUAAGAGGAAGUAUCUGUGAUAAAACCAGAGAACAUAUUCAAUGCUGACCCUCAGCUCUAUAAAUAUUCAGAGUAAGGAGAGAGCUCCCAUUUUGGGUCCUAGGAUCAUGGUGAAUAUCAGUUUCUACAUCUGUAAACUG
rnacentral:lncRNA from 1 species